rnacentral:rRNA from 1 species
CCUACGGGAGGCAGCAGUGAGGAAUAUUGGUCAAUGGGCGCGAGCCUGAACCAGCCAAGUAGCGUGAAGGAUGACUGCCCUACGGGUUGUAAACUUCUUUUAUAAAGGAAUAAGGUGAGGCACGUGUGCCUUUUUGUAUGUACUUUAUGAAUAAGGAUCGGCUAACGUCGUUCCAGCCGCCGCGGGAAUACUGAGGAUCCGAGCGAUAUCAGGAUUUAUUUGGUUUAAAGGGAGCGUAGAGGGGUUGUUAAGUCAGUUGUGAAAGUUUGCGGCUUAACCGUAGAAGUGCAAUUGAUACUGGCAGGCUUGAGUACAGUUGAGGUAGGCAGAAUUCGUGGUGUAGCGGUGAAAUGCGUAGAGAUCACGAAGAACACCGAUUGCGAAGGCAGCUUACUAAACUGACACUGACAUUGAUGCUCGAAAGUGUGGGUAUCAAACAGGAUUAGAUACCCGAGUAGUC